GUGCGUUUGAAUGUUGAACGUAAGGAACCUAGUAAAAACAUAAAGAGCCUUGGAAGAGGGCCUGUGCCAAGGGACCCACCAAGAGGGGCUUCCAUCCCCAUAGCCAACACCCAACAGAUGAGGGAGGUCAGAAGAAAAGAGUUCCUAAUCCUAUAACAAAGGCUGAAUCAGGAGGACUAUGUUGCUGGAAUUUCAUACCUCUCACUGUUGUGGCCUCUGCCGUUGCGAAGCACAGGCUCCGGACGCGCAGGCUCAGCGGCCAUGGCUCUCGAACCUAGCCGCUCCGCGGCACGUGGGAUCUUCCCGGACCGGGGCACGAGCCCGUGUGCCCUGCAUCGGCAAGCGGACUCUCAACCACUGCGCCACCAGGGAAGCCCCUGUGUUUCCAUUUUUUGUUGCAGGAAAGAAAGUGGGGCUGGAGAGGAUGGUCACUUCCCAGGUCUCAGAACGCGGAGUGGCCUCUCCCGUUGCGGAGCACAGGCUCCGGACGCGCAGGCUCAGCGGCCAUGGCUCACGGGCCUAGCCGCUCCGCGGCAUGUGGGAUCUUCCCGGACCUGGGCACGAACCCGUGUCCCCCGCAUCGGCAGGCGUACUCUCAACCACUGCGCCACCAGGGAAGACCUACAGGCUUGAUUUUAAGAUGAUUAAAAACUUAAUAGUGAGAUAAACACUUUAUUUUAAGAAAUACAAUACUGCUCUAUUACUGUUAGUGAUAAAUCUACUUUGUUUUUUAUUUAAACUUUCAUAGCUCUAGAAUCAAGAUAAUUAUGAUUGCAAAACUUAGCUCAUAUGACUGGUAAAAACUUAAUAUUUUUGUUUAAAACGAUGAAUGUUGGUAGAAGUAACAAAGUAUUAAAUGAAAACAAUCAGCACCGAUAUAGGGCAAGAAGUAGUGCCACUUUCAUUCUGAAGUAAAGUUCAUUCUGGCUUUUAAAAAACUGCGGGCUAUAUUGCUGUUUUCCAGAGCUGUAAAAAGUUGGGCAAGGUAGUUAUCUUUCUGUGGCUUACUUCUCCCCUCAUACAUGAAAUCUCAGCUCUCUUACUUUGAUCUUAGUGGCCUCGGACAAUUUAAAAACCGCAUUUCAACAAAUGUUUAGUGUCUAGCGUAAAACAGUAUGCUUGAUGACGAGUAGAAAUACCAAGUACAAGACACAGGACACAGGUCCCUGCCCUUCUAGAGCAAGAAAGUCGCUGAAACAGACCAGCCGUGAAUUCAACUUUUAAUCGGUACAACCUCUCCUUUGUAGGCCUGA